CUCUCUUCUGCAACCUCCUCUUUCACCACCUCUAGACCACCAAAUGGCGAGCUGCGAGCAUCGAUAGACUCGUCUCUUCCUCCUUAUCACGCAUGUGGGAGUUGUUUACGACGAUUUGGCCGGAAAUGUGGAGAUCGAAGCCAACAUUUUUACUGUAGCAAAUUAGUCAACGCCGAUUUCCGGCCACCUCCAGUCAUAAACCCAGGUCCAUUAGAAGCGCCUUAAGCCGCUCUUCAUGCUCGCCAAGUCUCAUAACCCAGAUCGAAGCAUGGAGGAAGAAAGCAUAAUUGGAAAAUUUCACUGUACAUCGGAGUGCUUAAUUGUUCGGCUACUUCAAGGUGAUUGACGGUUUGAGUUGGUGGACGAUUGUGGAUCGUAUUUUGAGCUGAAUUGAAGACGCAGCGGGAUUAUCGAGCGGGUAAUCCUACAGGACAGGAGAACCAGGACGGUGACCGUGCGGUUAGAGCAAUUGUUAGAGUUUUACAGCAAUUGUAAGUUGUGAGGUGUGUUAUGCUCAUUUAGAGCUUUACAAUAUUGCUUGUGAGAGUGAAUUGUAAUAAUGAACUCGAGGUUUCGAGAUUUGGAGUUUGUGUACCUUGUGGUGAGAUUAUAUUGAGAAAAAAAUUCAGAACGUUUAUUUGAUUAAGUGGUUUAAUUCAUGUUUCGGAUUUGAAUUUAUUAUU